rnacentral:rRNA from 1 species
AGUGAACGCUGGCGGUAGGCCUAACACAUGCAAGUCGAACGGCAGCACAGUAAGAGCUUGCUCUUACGGGUGGCGAGUGGCGGACGGGUGAGGAAUACAUCGGAAUCUACUUUUUCGUGGGGGAUAACGUAGGGAAACUUACGCUAAUACCGCAUACGACCUACGGGUGAAAGCAGGGGAUCUUCGGACCUUGCGCGAUUGAAUGAGCCGAUGUCGGAUUAGCUAGUUGGCGGGGUAAAGGCCCACCAAGGCGACGAUCCGUAGCUGGUCUGAGAGGAUGAUCAGCCACACUGGAACUGAGACACGGUCCAGACUCCUACGGGAGGCAGCAGUGGGGAAUAUUGGACAAUGGGCGCAAGCCUGAUCCAGCCAUACCGCGUGCGUGAAGAAGGCCUUCGGGUUGUAAAGCCCUUUUGUUGGGAAAGAAAAGCAGCAGGUUAAUACCCCGCUGUUCUGACGGUACCCAAAGAAUAAGCACCGGCUAACUUCGUG